GAUGAACGCUGGCGGCGUGCUUAACACAUGCAAGUCGAACGAUGAAACCGGAGCUUGCUCCGGUGGAUUAGUGGCGAACGGGUGAGUAACACGUGAGAAACCUGCCCUUGACUCUGGGAUAACUGCGGGAAACUGUAGCUAAUACCGGAUACGACCCUCGGAGGCAUCUCCUGGGGGUGGAAAGAAUUUCGGUCAAGGAUGGACUCGCGGCCUAUCAGCUAGUUGGUGAGGUAACGGCUCACCAAGGCGAUGACGGGUAGCCGGCCUGAGAGGGUGACCGGCCACACUGGGACUGAGACACGGCCCAGACUCCUACGGGAGGCAGCAGUGGGGAAUAUUGCACAAUGGGCGCAAGCCUGAUGCAGCAACGCCGCGUGAGGGAUGACGGCCUUCGGGUUGUAAACCUCUUUUAGCAGGGAAGAAGCGAAAGUGACGGUACCUGCAGAAAAAGCACCGGCUAACUACGUGCCAGCCGCCGCGGUAA
rnacentral:rRNA from 1 species